AAGUCGUAACAAGGUUUCCGUAGGUGAACCUGCGGAAGGAUCAUUAACACGUAUCCAAACGUUAAAACCCCCCCCGUGAACCUUCAUCCUGCUCUUGUAACCCGCGUAGUUUGCAAUCUCUGAUAAAUCAUAGCCCGGAAAGUUGUAGUGAUUCAGAGACCUCUGGCUACGUGCGAACAUUGGAACAGUUACAAUCGAGCGGUAGUUCUAUAGGCAAUGUUUCCCCAAGCGGCCUACAGGAAUCGUAGAAGCGCUAUCCUUGCACAAUCAAUGAAACCGUACACUCGGGCAGGAGCUUUGCCAAAGGGUCCCCAUGCCCCCUAAUAACCCCACAGUUUAAUGUGAAGCUCAAUGUAAUAACCGAACAAACUGAUAACAAUGGAUAUCUUGGUUCUC
rnacentral:misc_RNA from 1 species